AGGAUUCCCCUAGUAGCGGCGAGUGAAGAGGGAAAAGCUCAAAUUUUGAAUCUGGCGUCUUCGACGUCCGAGUUGUAAUCUAGAGAAGUGUUUUCCGUGCCGGACCGUACAAAAGUCUCCUGGAACGGGGCGUCAUAGAGGGUGAGAAUCCCGUAUAUGGUAUGGACUCCCGGUGCUCUGUGAUACACUCUCAACGAGUCGAGUUGUUUGGGAAUGCAGCUCAAAAUGGGUGGUAAAUUCCAUCUAAAGCUAAAUAUUGGCGAGAGACCGAUAGCGAACAAGUACCGUGAGGGAAAGAUGAAAAGCACUUUGGAAAGAGAGUGAAACAGUACGUGAAAUUGUUGAAAGGGAAGCGUUUGAUGUCAGUCGCAUCUUGCGGAACUCAGCCUGGCUUCUGCCUGGUGUACUUUCCGUAGGAUGGGUCAGCGUCAGUUUCGACUGGAGGAGAAAGGCUUGGGGGAGGUGGCUGUCUUCGGACAGUGUUAUAACCCCUCGUUGUAUACUUCAGUUGGGACUGAGGAACGCAGCGCGCCUUUUGGCCGGGGUUCGCGCCCUCGGUACGCGCUUAGGAUGCUGGCAUAAUGGCCUUAAGCGACCCGUCUUGAAACACGGACCAAGGAGUCUAACAUGUGCGCGAGUGUUUGGGUGUCAAACCCGAGCGCGAAAUGAAAGUGAAAGGUUGGGAUCAUGUACUUUGUGCACCAACGCCCGGAGCAGACCUUCUGUGACGCAUYUGCGGYAGAGCGCAUAUGUUGGGACCCGAAAGAUGGUGAACUAUGCCUGAAUAGGGUGAAGCCAGAGGAAACUCUGGUGGAGGCUCGUAGCGAUUCUGACGUGCAAAUCGAUCGUCAAAUUUGGGUAUAGGGGCGAAAGACUAAUCGA
rnacentral:rRNA from 1 species